UCUACCUAGUAGUGGGGGAUAGCUCGGGGAAACUCGAAUUAAUACCGCAUACGACCUACGGGUGAAAGGGGGCGCAAGCUCUUGCUAUUAGAUGAGCCUAAAUCAGAUUAGCUAGUUGGUGGGGUAAAGGCCCACCAAGGCGACGAUCUGUAACUGGUCUGAGAGGAUGAUCAGUCACACCGGAACUGAGACACGGUCCGGACUCCUACGGGAGGCAGCAGUGGGGAAUAUUGGACAAUGGGGGCAACCCUGAUCCAGCCAUGCCGCGUGUGUGAAGAAGGCCUUUUGGUUGUAAAGCACUUUAAGCAGGGAGGAGAGGCUAAUGGUUAAUACCCAUUAGAUUAGACGUUACCUGCAGAAUAAGCACCGGCUAACUCUGUGCCAGCAGCCGCGGUAAUACAGAGGGUGCGAGCGUUAAUCGGAAUUACUGGGCGUAAAGCGAGUGUAGGUGGCUCAUUAAGUCACAUGUGAAAUCCCCGGGCUUAACCUGGGAACUGCAUGUGAUACUGGUGGUGCUAGAAUAUGUGAGAGGGAAGUAGAAUUCCAGGUGUAGCGGUGAAAUGCGUAGAGAUCUGGAGGAAUACCGAUGGCGAAGGCAGCUUCCUGGCAUAAUAUUGACACUGAGAUUCGAAAGCGUGGGUAGCAAACAGGAUUAGAUACCCUGGUAGUCCACGCCGUAAACGAUGUCUACUAGCCGUUGGGGUCCUUGAGACUUUAGUGGCGCAGUUAACGCGAUAAGUAGACCGCCUGGGGAGUACGGCCGCAAGGUUAAAACUCAAAUGAAUUGACGGGGGCCCGCACAAGCGGUGGAGCAUGUGGUUUAAUUCGAUGCAACGCGAAGAACCUUACCUGGUCUUGACAUAGUGAGAAUCUCUCAGAGAUGAGAGAGUGCCUUCGGGAACUCACAUACAGGUGCUGCAUGGCUGUCGUCAGCUCGUGUCGUGAGAUGUUGGGUUAAGUCCCGCAACGAGCGCAACCCUUUUCCUUAUUUGCCAGCGGGUUAAGCCGGGAACUUUAAGGAUACUGCCAGUGACAAACUGGAGGAAGGCGGGGACGACGUCAAGUCAUCAUGGCCCUUACGACCAGGGCUACACACGUGCUACAAUGGUAGGUACAGAGGGUUGCUACACAGCGAUGUGAUGCUAAUCUCAAAAAGCCUAUCGUAGUCCGGAUUGGAGUCUGCAACUCGACUCCAUGAAGUCGGAAUCGCUAGUAAUCGCGGAUCAGAAUGCCGCGGUGAAUACGUUCCCGGGCCUUGUACACACCGCCCGUCACAC
rnacentral:rRNA from 1 species